AAAUGUUAAGUCUGUCCAAGAACUUGAGUCAUGCUGUGGAAGGAUCAAGAUGUAGGACGUUUCAGAAAGCAUUUUCUGGUGUCCUCUGAUCAAGGCAAGGAGCUGCAUGUGCAGUUCUGUUGCUCAGAGCAAGCUGCUCCUUGCAGGUUUGGUCUGUUUCUCUGUCUCUGGUUUAUAAACGCCUGGGGAUGGAGAAUGCGGGCUCUCUGGAAGGUCCUGUGCUGGUACUGUGCACACGCUGCUCUGUGAACCCCUUACACACGUGGCUGGACAAACACCACCCUCACAUGCGGCAGCCUGUGCAGCAAAAGCAGCUGAUUUUAGUAACACAACUGUUUUUGCAGGUGCGGAAAAUUCCACAGUGAUUGCACAUCUCGGUUUCAGUUUUGGUUGAGAAGAACGUUUAAAAGUCUGAACACCCAAACACCCGUCCACAUGAAUCAUCAGGCAAAGAGAAUGCCCAAGGUGUUCCAUCUGCUGGGAGCUUGGGUCAUAGAUCUGAGAAUGCUCAUAAUCUCCAAAUUCUCUCUAAUGCACCAGUUCCAAGGUGUUGACAUUUUCAAUUCACAAGUUAUGUUUGAGCCUACUGUCCGAAGUUUCAGGAUAAAGUUAGCAGCUAAAAGUUAGGACACCUGUGUCUAGGGAUCGAUGACUCCUCCAAGUCUCCAGACCUCCCGGGACUCAUCUCUUGCUGCUGCUCGGGCAGGCCACUUGGUGUGCCAGUCAGUUGUGCUGUGUGGUCUGUGCUGUGGCCUGUGAGGUGUACGGCAUCAUCAGAUUGCCAUUCAGCAAGUGGUGCCCCCUGGGAAGGGCCGUGGAUCCUGGCCGGACCGCACUGCUGCUCAUCCUAAGCCCUAUCAGUGGCCAGAAAAGUCAAGGGCCUCCAAGUGUGUCAGGCAGAGUCAGCUGGUAAUGGAAAAGGAGUCUUUUUUCUCAUAAGAGAAAUCAACCCAAAUAAACUGGUUUUCCCUCCAAACUGACCUGAAUUCUGUUAUCUCUAAGGUUGAAGCUGGCGAAAGAGUUGGGCUUACAGAAAGUGGAGAGAUAGGUAAAUACCUAGGAGUGAGGUUGCUGGGCCUAGUAAGCAUCUAUUACAGACUGAACGUGAGGACAGAGAGAGGCAACCAUAUGUAAGCCGGAAAGACAGUUCUCACCAUAAAGCGACCAUGCUGGCACCUUGAUCUUGGACAUGAAGACUCCAGAACUAUGAGUCAUUCAUUGUACAAUCAUGCUAGGAAACUUCAAGUCUAUUAUUCAGAGCAGUUAAAAGAGCCUGUCCUUGGAAGCGAAGAUGUGGGUCUGAAUCUGGACUUAGCCGCUUACUACCUCUAUGUUCUUGGUGAUAAAGGUUGGUUGGAUGUCAGUGACGUGGGCAGCAUUGUGAGCCAUGUGUUGAGGAGUCUCAUGCAAUUGCUCUUUCAGCUGGAGUCCCCACAGGACUGUGCCGAGUGGAGGUUUGUGUCAACUGGAUGCUACAUGA